rnacentral:rRNA from 1 species
CCCUUAGAUGUUCUAGGCUGCACGCGCGCUACACUGAUACGAUCAACGAGUAUAUCACCUUGCUCGACAGAGUUGGGUAAUCUUCUGAAAUCGUAUCGUGAUGGGGAUAGAUUAUUGUAAUUAUUAAUCUUCAACGAGGAAUUCCUAGUAUGUGCGGAUCAUCAGUUCGCGCAGAUUACGUCCCUGCCCUUUGUACACACCGCCCGUCGCUCCUACCGAUUGAGUGAUCCGGUGAGUUAUUUGGACUGAGCUGCUUAGAGCAAUCUUCGUAGUUUAGAAAAUCUCGCAAACCUUAUCACUUAGAGGAAGGAGAANUCGUAACA